UACGGAGGGUGCGAGCGUUGUCCGGAAUCACUGGGCGUAAAGGGCGCGUAGGUGGCGCGGGAAGUCAACGGUGAAAGUUCGGGGCUCAACCCUGAAUCGGCCGUCGAUACUCCCGGGCUCGAGCACUGUAGAGGCAGAUGGAAUUCCGGGUGUAGCGGUGGAAUGCGUAGAGAUCCGGAAGAACACCGGUGGCGAAGGCGGUCUGCUGGGGCAGUUGCUGACACUGAGGCGCGACAGCGUGGGGAGCAAACAGGG
rnacentral:rRNA from 1 species